rnacentral:misc_RNA from 1 species
AGCAGCCGCGGUAAUUCCAGCUCCAAUAGCGUAUAUUAAAGUUGUUGCAGUUAAAAGCUCGUAGUUGAAUUUCGGGGUUAGUAGGUUGGUCAUGCCUCUGGUAUGUACUGGUCUCACUGAUUCCUCCUUCCUGAUGAGCCGUAAUGCCAUUAAUUUGGUGUUGCGGGGAAUUUGGACUGUUACUUUGAAAAAUUAGAGUGUUUAAAGCAAGCUAACGCUUGAAUACAUUAGCAUGGAAUAAUGAAAUAGGACGUUCGAUCCUAUUUUGUUGGUUUCUAGGAUUGACGUAAUGAUUAAUAGGGAUAGUUGGGGGCAUUAGUAUUCAAUUGUCAGAGGUGAAAUUCUUGGAUUUAUUGAAGACUAACUACUGCGAAAGCAUUUGCCAAGGAUGUUUUCAUUAAUCAAGACGAAAGUUAGGGAUCGAAGACGAUCAGAUACCGUCGUAGUCUUAACCAUAAACUAUGCCGACUAGGGAUCGGAUGAUGUUAAUUUUUAAUGUACUCAUUCGGCGCCUUAACC